ensembl:lncRNA
CAGUGGGUGGGGGUCUCUGCUAUGCAGUGUCUUAUGCUCAGAAGCUCAGCCCAAAAAUUGGGUUGGAUCAGCUUUCUGAGAGCUGGUGAAUCUCUGUUCAGAGCUGCUGUUUAGUCUUCCUAGGGAGUUUGGGUGCUCUAAAAACAUUUAUUUAAUUAAGCAAUUAAUUAAUUAAUGAACACUUAGUAUGUACCUGGCCCCAGGCUGAGUAUUUUGUAUCAAUCAUUUCUGAAUCCCAUCACAUUCUAAUAGGUGGUUACAGCAUUACUCACACUGCAAAGAUGGCAGAACUGAGUCACAGGUGUUUAUAUUGAUUAUUCAACAAGUGACAGAACUAAGGUUUGUCACUUGAACCGAUGGUCGCCUGACUCUAAACAUUCACUCUGGUCCUUUGUGGCUUGAAGAUGUCCCUUCCCUUGUGAGCAGCUCAUGCGUGGACCAGGAGAGCAGAUGAGCAGGCAUCCACAUACAAGUGGGCUGAUGAACGGAUGUCCAACCAGAGAUGUCCCUCUGUUUUGUCCCCAUACACAUGUCCUUCUCUCCCCAGGCCCGAAAGGGUGGAGCAGCCACUGGGGUUGACACUGUCUGCGUCCACCAUCCUGACUCUGUGGACCUCACGCUGGACAUGGAGUGGCUCUGCUGAGAGCUGAGCCACCAGCCCCAUGGUGUCGCCCGGCUUGCACAGGGACUGUCUCUGCGGUGAGGGAAAGGGGUCUCCUCCUGCACCCCAGGUGGAUGCUUCUCUUGGUGCUCUGAGCUCUGGUCAGAGCACACAUCCACGUCUGCUUCGAGAUUUCUCUCUCCUCACUCUUCUUUUCCUUGUGAGGUCCCUCUUCCCCACCGAGGGCUACGUCACAGGGAGAGAGAGAUGGAAAGUCAGAGAAAGGUUAUAGGAGGCACCGCUGACUGUUUGGAAGGGACACAACCUCCUGAUGGCGUCUAGUCUUCCACCAGCGGUCCAGCCCCUCCCUCCCUUCCUUAACCCUCUCAAAGCUCCCCCCUCACUCUUACCCACUCUCUGCAGUUACACCAGACCAGCCUUGACCUCCAUCCCCAGUGGUAAGUGUUCAAGCCCUAGAUGACCCCAUGACCCUACAAUGCCUUGAGGGGGCAGCUGGUCCCUCCUCCCGAAGUCCAGGGCCUCAGGGCUUCCAGGCAGGAAGCCGUAGGUGGUUACCUACCCACCCCCACCUCCACCUUCUGUGACAGGCUGGGCAUCAGGGCCCCCAUCUUGGGCAUCUCCAAGGUGAUGAGGCUGCCCCGUUCUCAUCUGAUGCUUCCUCCUCAGGUUCUGUGACUUCUAUACCCUCCUUGAGAACCCCAGAGGCUCCAGUCUCCUCCACCUCUACAGAAAGAGCCUUCCCUCUGUGUCUCCUUCCUUCCCACCUCCAUGCCUCCAUGCUUAGCCUUGAGAAGGACCAGAGAUCAUGCACAGGCAGCUCAAGGCUGGGGGACAGAGUGGGAGGAUGAACCUUUGGGUCUAUACCCUCACCACAGACCCGUCCAGCUCCACCCCUGGGUUUGGAGAGCUCUGUGACUCCAGGUUCUCAGUUCCAGACUGAAGCAGUGGCUCCUUUUAAUCCACCCCUUGCUUUCUGUUAAGGUUUGGUAUCAGUUAGUUUUACUGCAUAACAAACAACCCGCACAUUUACUGGAUUAAAACACUGAUCAUUGAUUACUGCUCACUAGUGUGCAGGUCAGCUGGGCAGCGCCUCUGGCUUGAACGGGGCUUCCUUACGUGUCUGCCAUUGCCUGCAGGUGAGCUGGGUGACUGCUCCUGGAGGACACCUGACUGAUGGAGAGGUCGCCUUGGUUGUCCUUCCUCUGACCUCAGCAUCCAGCAGACCAGCCCCGGCUCAUUCAUGUGCUCACAGAGCUCCCAGAGGGCAAGCCCCAGAACACAAGCAUUUUUCCAGCCUUUGCUCGCAUCAGGUCACACCAACUACUGAGCACUGCACAGGAAGCAUGAGUCUGAGCAAGAGUGUAGCAGGGAGGUCACAAGCAAGGAACUGGGGGUCAGAGAACCUGGGCCCAACCAGACUCUCCCUCCCUCCAGCCAUGUGACCCUGGGCAGCUGGGGGUCAGUGAGGAGCCGUUACUCUGAACCUCACCAACCACAACCUGCUGUGCUCCACACACGGGCCACCCCAGCUCCCUCAUGUUCAACAUCACAGACAUCCUCACGCAGCACCUG